GAACGCACGGAGGGAGCUUGCUCCCAAAGUUAGUGGCGGACGGGUGAGUAACGCGUGGGUAACCUGCCCUAUGCAGGGGGAUAACGUUUGGAAACGAACGCUAAUACCGCAUAACCUAGUUGGUUCGCAUGAACCGUCUAGCAAAGAUUUAUCGGCAUAGGAUGGACCCGCGUUAGAUUAGCUAGUUGGUGAGAUAACAGCCCACCAAGGCUACGAUCUAUAGCCGGCCUGAGAGGGUGAACGGCCACACUGGGACUGAGACACGGCCCAGACUCCUACGGGAGGCAGCAGUGGGGAAUAUUGCACAAUGGGCGCAAGCCUGAUGCAGCGACGCCGCGUGAAGGAUGAAGGUCUUCGGAUCGUAAACUUCUAUCAGCAGGGAAGAAUACCAUGACGGUACCUGACUAAGAAGCCCCGGCUAACUACGUGCCAGCAGCCGCGGUAAU
rnacentral:rRNA from 1 species